ensembl:lncRNA
AAAGCAUGAUGUUCUAGAGGAAAGACAGAACACAAUACCUGCCCUCCAGCUGUACCUGUAUCAAGGGGACUCACAUCAACUGCCUCUGCCAGCGCCAGGAGCUGCCAACACCCCUUCCCAACAGGCUACAGCUUGGAAGGCCACAAAGAGAUUCACUUAGAAAGCAGAAGGAUGAAGAAAGGAGCAGAGGAGGAGAAGGACUACUACAAUCCCUUUGAAAAAGACCAUCCACAGAAUAUUCCCAAAUGCUGAAGAAUUCCUUAUGAUGGAAGACAAAGAUUAGAUCAGCUUGGAAAAAUUUAGUAAUUACUGGUAUGCAAAUGUACUUAUUUUC